rnacentral:rRNA from 1 species
GACGAACGCUGGCGGCGUGCUUAACACAUGCAAGUCGAACGGAAAGGCCCUGCUUUUGUGGGGUGCUCGAGUGGCGAACGGGUGAGUAACACGUGAGUAACCUGCCCUUGACUUUGGGAUAACUUCAGGAAACUGGGGCUAAUACCGGAUAGGAGCUCCUGCUGCAUGGUGGGGGUUGGAAAGUUUCGGCGGUUGGGGAUGGACUCGCGGCUUAUCAGCUUGUUGGUGGGGUAGUGGCUUACCAAGGCUUUGACGGGUAGACGGCCUGAGAGGGUGACCGGCCACAUUGGGACUGAGAUACGGCCCAGACUCCUACGGGAGGCAGCAGUGGGGAAUAUUGCACAAUGGGCGGAAGCCUGAUGCAGCAACGCCGCGUGCGGGAUGACGGCCUUCGGGUUGUAAACCGCUUUCGCCUGUGACGAAGCGUGAGUGACGGUAAUGGGUAAAGAAGCACCGGCUAACUACGU